GGACAUAUUGACAUCCUCAGGAAAAUGGUCGGAAUUGCUUUCUCAGACCUCAAAACGUGGAGAUCUGAUGCAAAUUCGAUUUUCGAAAAUCAGGGUGAAACCAAUAACUUCCCAAUUUUGAAAAUUUUCAAUUUUCUUAGCAGGAAGUUAAAAACAUCAGAUGUAUUUUCUA